rnacentral:lncRNA from 1 species
AUGGUCAAGGACAGACAUGAUAAUGACCUGAACCACCAUGAUGGCAGCAAGGGUACAAAGAGCCAACGGUAUCAUGAAGUGCGCAAAGUCAAACUCAAAAAGAAAUGAUUUACCUGAGUAUUUUGGCCAGUGGGAUUAAGAAGAAGAAAGGAAUGCACCAAGAUUUUGUACAAGAGAAAUCUGAGCCUGCUAUUUCAUCUGGCAAUGGAAUCAUUUUACAGCCCUUUGGACCCCAGACACAGAAGCGAUCUGUAGUCUGCUGCUUUGUACUCUAGGACAAGGCAGAACCCUUUGUUCAACAGGAGAAGGGGCCCUUCUGCGACAGACUUUCUGAACAAAAAGAAGUCCUUCAUGGCUCAGUCUUGGCACACUCAUGUAACCCUUAACUAGAUCUCUUUGCUCUCACUGAGCUGUGACUUGUAGUGUAAUUACAUGGAGUCAGGAGAUGCCAAGUCUUAUAACAAGAGGCUUAGGUCAUUAACAAGUUAAGAUAAUAAAUGUCAUCUGGGAAAUAUCAUUGGGAUUUAGUCAACCUGAAAGUACAUCUCCCCUUUUCUUCCUGAAAAACAAUGUUAUGUUCCAUAUUUUGAGUGGUUUGGGAGGUCAUGAAUGUAGGCCCUUUAGCUCACUAAAGCUGGGUUUUGUUGUAUGGUUGGUUGGUUGGUUGGUUCUCUUCAUCUUAUAUUUGCCUGGUCAUCUGCCCACAUAUUUAUUUAUUCAUCCCUUCUAAUGCUUUAAAGGAUGAGAAAAGGCAUUUCUGGCAAAGCCCCUACAAUGGAGGACUCUAUCUUCAUUGAGUGAGGAUGACCCUCCAGUAUUGCCACAAACCGAAGCAAGGGCAUACAUAGCCUUCUCCCCCAUCCAUUCUCUCAGCCAGUCAUUGGACUUGAGAUGUUUCUUAGUAGGGGUGGUUCUUUGGUCAAAUCAGUAAUCUGUGACAGAGGACAAGUCCCACUCAGAAACAGUAUAAGCAGACAUCAGUCAAUGUGGCCAGCAGUUGGGGGAUGGAGGUGUCAUUCUUCAGAGAUUUCUGGAGAAAGCCAGUGUCUGAAGGCAAAAUGAGGGUGUGUCUAUUUGCAUUACCUUGUCUAAACUCCUGAGUUUAAGAAUAGACUUCUCACAUCACCACAGAGGCUGUUAGUGUUGUUCCCUUCUACAUAGUCUGGAUUUCUAGUGUGUAAUCAAUAAACUAAGUUUGAUGACUC